UCACAUUUUCCCUCCCCACCCUAAUCCAAGUCUGAAUCAGGCUCUCCCCUCGCUCCUCCACUAGGUUGCCCGAUCCAUGGUUGCCGACGUUCUCCGUCUCGAGGCCGUCAGCCGUACCUCAGGGUGCCCUCUUCCAACGACCACGGCUGCUUCCCACCUCCCCACCUCAGCCCUACCUCCGGCGAGCACUGAAUCCAUGUGCGGGCCUCCUCCUGGUCGCCGAUGCCAGCCCAGAUCGAUGACAACAGCUAGGAGAAAGAGCAGAUGCAGGCUAUAGAUCUGGCUGUGAACAGGUGAUGUUUUUUUGGAGCUUGAGGCUGCAGUUCUUGCUUUUUUCUGAACUUGGUUUAUGUUAUUGUACAGUUCUGCUUUUGGUUCCAGGGGUUUUGCACGGACGUUGUAAACAUGUGGGCGCUCACUUAUUUGGACUUGGAUUAUACUGUUAAUUUUAGAUGCUAGCAUGGUUGACAUGCAGAAACUUCACAUGCAUGGAAGAUAUGUACUACGUACAAUUCAUUUGCAACAUCUGUACUCUAAGUGCUUCUAUACAUUUUUCAAACUUGAUUGUAGACCUGGCUGUUCCUUUGUACAUCUGUACUGCAAUGUUGUGUGUACGUCUAGAGGUUUCUUGGCGGACUGCUAGCUGUGUGCAUUGAUGUAUCUUUCCCGGUUAUAUUUACUGUCAAAACGAGCACAUGUAAGUUGUUUGGUUAACAAACUAAUGGAAGGUAUUUCAAGUGUUUUUCUUGUCCAUAUAUGUGAUUAUCCUGUCGGAAAGUUGACUUCAUCAGAAAAUAUUCAGCAUAUAUUAUUUCUCUCUGCGUGUUGAUUUUCCAGGGAUUAAGUAUAUAUGGGGAACUACGAUAGAAUGAAGAUUCAAAUGUUUGGACAGCAGGUAGAGAGUGCUCUCACUUCCGAAAAGCAAAAUGGGGUCAUCCGGUGGUUCCCCCUUUCAGAUGGCAUUUUUUGCAGCUACCCUUUAAGAUGGAUAUAGAUUGAUGCACCUAUUUUCAGUUGAAGACUUGCCCCAUUCCUAUUUAUUUUUUAAUGCUGGUAGGAGAGGUGCAAAACUUGCUGAUUAGAAAAGGUAUAUUACAAACAAACAACCCCAAGGGGGUACUAAGAAGGAACACGGAGAGAUCACUAUUGAGCAGUAAUUACCGACAUUUUGUUUGUUUUAUGGUAUCUUUUUUUAGGCUACGUGGAGUGAAACAUGUUUCUUACUUCUAGUACACAGUUUCAUUAAUCGCUGUGUACAGCCACAACACUAUGAAUAGAGACGAAUGACUGCAGAAUCGCUGGAGAGUACACUCAAGAACAC
rnacentral:lncRNA from 1 species